GAUGAACGCUGACAGAAUGCUUAACACAUGCAAGUCUUUGGCGAAUCUGUGCUUGCCCAGGCUAGCCAAGGCGGACGGGUGAGUAACGCGUAAAGAACUUGCCCUGCAGACAGGGAUAACAGACGGAAACGACUGAUAACACCUGAUACAGUUGCCGGCACGCAUGUGCCUGGCAAUGAAAAGAGAUGCUGCAGGAGAGCUUUGCGUCCUAUUAGCUUGUUGGUGAGGUGACGGCUCACCAAGGCGAUGAGAGGUAGCCGGCCUGAGGGGGUGAACGGCCACAAGGGGACUGAGAUACGGCCCUUACUCCUACGGGAGGCAGCAGUGGGGAAUAGUGGACAAGGGGGGCAACCCUGAUCCAGCAAUUCUGUGUGCACGAAGAAGGUUUUCGGAUUGUAAAGUGCUUUCAGCAGGGAAGAAGAAAGUGACGGUACCUGCAGAAGAAGCGACGGCUAAAUACGUG
rnacentral:rRNA from 1 species